AUGGAUGAAAGUGUCUUGGCUCUGCGGGCUAUGACGGAGCAACGACUUCGGUGCCAGAAUCGCUCGGGUCUACUGCGGCUCGUUGUGAAGUCGUGCGGAGUCGCGGUCUUCGGAUCUGGUGGAUCGGAGAGGAGAGGCCAGUUCGGGUGCGGUGGUCGCGGCGGUUCGUGGCUGUUAUUGUUGGAUUGUACGGUGUUGCUCGGGAAGUUCCAUACUUGGCGGUUGCACAAUGAACAAAUCCGCAGUGUUUGUGGGUUAACAUUAUCGGUAGCGAUGAACAAGCUUGUUUUCUUCUGUAAAAUUUUCUGUUUCUGUUCUUUACAGUAG